GCUCCAAUAGCAUAUGUUAAAAUUGCUGUAGUUAAAAAGCUCGUAGUUGAAUGUGAUAGCGGUGAGGAGGUACCUUUCUUUUAAGGAACCUAAUCACGAAAGCUAAACGAACGGUGCAGUUGUGAUUCGUGGUGGUGGUUUCCUUCCUUCCUUCAUUCUUGGAGAGGGUAGGCAAUAUCAUCAUCAUUUGUUGUGUCAUCUGCACAUAUUACCUUGAAAAAAUUAGAGUGUCUAAAGCAGGCCUUGGUGCCGGAAUAAAUCGCAUGGGAUAAUGAAACAGGACUUACUAGAGAAGUGGUAUUGCUCUAUGUUAGUACAUGAUAAAUAGGGACAAUCGGGGUCGCUCGUAUUAGAUGGGGAGAGGUGAAAUUCUAAUAUCCACCUAAGACGAACAAGUGCGAAAGCAUUCGACAAGGGUGUUUUCAUUAAUCAAGAACGAAAGUUAGGGGAUCGAAGAUGAUUAGAUACCGUCGUAGUCUUAACUAUAAACUAUAUCGACCAAAUAUUAUGGCAUGUUGUCACUGACUCCCGUAGCAUCUUAUGAGAAAUCACAAGUGUGAUUCUAGGGGGAGUAUGGUCGCAAGGCUGAAACUUAAAGGAAUUGACGGAAGGGCACCACCAGGAGUGGAACCUGCGGCUUAAUUUGACCCAACACGGGAAAACUUACCAGGUCAGGACACAGUAAGGAUUGACAGAUUGAUUGUUCUUUCAUGAUUUUGUGGAUAGUGGUGCAUGGCCGUUUUUAGUUGGUGGAUUGAUUUGUCUGGUUAAUUCCGUUAACGAACGAGACCUCGUCCUGUUAACUAGGAACUGGAAUAAUAACCUAUUCAUCAUUGCAGCCAUUUUCACUCCGGUGCAAUUUGGUGGUAGUGGUGGUAAAGGUUUUUAAAUUCCAAUGAUUCUUCUUAAAGGGACCCAUUAACUUUAUUAAAAGGAAGAUCGAGGCAACAACAGGUCUGUGAUGCCCUUAGAUGUUCUGGGCUGCACGCGGGUUACAUUGGAUUCUACAAAGUGCAAUGGUCCUUACACGAAAGUGUUAGGGAACCACUAAUGCAAAUACCUAAACUGGGAUAGUAAAUUGUAAUUAUUAUUCUUGAACGAGGAAUUCCUAGUAAACUUACUUCAUUAGAGUGGGCUGAUUACUCCCUGCCCUUUGUACACACCGCCCGUCGCUCCUACCGAUUGAAUGGUCCGGUGAGGACUCAGGAUGGAUGGGCUUUGACUGGCUGUAAAGCUGGCUCAAGCCCAUAUUUUUAACCAGAAUUUGUUCAAACCAUAUUGUUUAGAGGA
rnacentral:rRNA from 1 species